rfam:Chryseobacterium indologenes NBRC 14944 DNA, contig: CIN01S11.
GGGGUUGACUGGUUUCGACAGCAAGACUAAUGGGUAAGUAAGCAUGCAGAGAACCGUAGCGCGAUCUCUAUAAUCCCUUGCUACAAAAUUUUAACUGGCAACGAAGAGUUCGCUCUUGCAGCUUAAUAUCGAAGUAUAGUAGAUUCAAGCGUUUUCCCGAAGAUUUCAGUAGGGAAGCAAGAUAUUCCACAAAUGCUCUGUUCUGCGGCGUUUGAUCCUGGGAUAUAGGAAUGCGGAAAUAAGGUUGUAGAAGCUUCGGCUAUAACACGAAAACUUUAGAAGAUAAGCUGGAAGUUGGGUGUCUGCUCUCUGCUUCCCGUCGAAAAUUAAUAGUAGAAUAAGCAUGUAGAAAGCUUAUGUAUUGCUUGUUUGGACGAGGGUUCGAAUCCCUCCAACUCCACAG